CACUUCACAAGGCAAUGUGGGAUUCCAGGUAACGCAGGACUGACCAGCGGUGUGAAAAUAUUCUCAACUUAAUGCUAAUGAGUGCAAAACUCUCCCAGAAGUGAUGCAGUGAAACUGACAAAGUGGCUUGGUGAUGGACCAGGAAGCUAUGGGAAGAUGCCCAAACAGAUAACAAGGUCAUGGACAAAAGAAAUAUGGCUUGGCACACAAACACAAAGUAGCGCAAAUUGUCAGACAAAGCAGUGAGAUGUCUACACAAUCAGCGUCCUUUUUAGCCAGUGUCAACAAGCCCACAAUGACGAGCGAGAAGUGGCAGAGUUAAUGAUGUAGAAUUUGUUUGGUUCCAGUGGGACUUGACCGUAAAUUAGAGGCCACUACCACAGAGCUGCACCAGCUUGUUGCGUAUCACCACUCCACUUUGUACUACAUUGUGCAUUGUAAAUUUAGCAAGGUAUAGUGAUUAUGCAUUAUGAAUCCCCAAUAAGUAACAGUGCCAGUGCUCACUUAUUAUUGUUGUUCAAUUAAACAUUUCAAGGCAAACUAUGUCUUGUGUGCAAGGCUGGGCAUUGAAAGAAGCCUGUGUUCUCCCUACCAUCCACAAUCAAAUGGUCUUGUGGGCAAAUUCAAUGGCACAAGACAAAGAUAUAUUUUGUUUUCAUUAUUGAAGUAUUUCCUAGCACUCAGAAUAACUGGAAAGCAGUAAUGAUAUUCUGAAAAUAGGUUACAUUGUCAUACAUUAGAAAUCAAAUUUUAUCCUGUCAAGUGAGCAAUACAGAGCAUAUUCAGUUAUUUUUUGAUGAUUACUGUAACUAGGUCAACAUUUACUUGUCCUUGUGAAGUCCCUGAUGAUUUGAAAAGGCUCUUACAUGAAUAAAGUUUACAAAUAGUAAAGUAAAUAAAGUAAAGUUAAGUUAAAUAACGUUGGCAAACUGCGGUCAAUAUGUGUUUCUAUCCUUAUCACAAACUUGUUAGCUUGCAGAACAAAUCUUGCUGGGGAAAAAUGCCCAGUUCCCAGUGCACCAGGAGGAGGUAGCCACUUUGAGGCUGGACAUUGCAAUGUUCGUGCUGAACAACUCAGAUGACCUAUCCCAGCUGUGUCAGGCUUGUAGGGAGGACAGCUCAGGGACUGACAUUGAUGAGGAAGUAUGACGAAUCAAUUCAACUUCAGACCAAUGUUAGUCCGUAAGACUGGGAAACACCUGAAGGAAACUCACUGAAUAUAAAGGACAGCAUACUGACUCCACUUUGGACACACAAAACCACACAUUUUAAACUACUUCAUUGGACAUCCUGAGUGUAAAUUAGUGACCUUUUUUUCUCCUUAUUCCCUUUUAGAUUGAGUGCACCACCAUAAAACAUACUUUACUUACUGACUUUCUUUAUGACAUGUCACAGGAUUGGGUAAGUCUAGCUUGGAUUGCAGAUUUUAAUUUGGUCACUGUGUAAAUUUGGAAAAUUGGCGUCCUUUAAACUUCUAUUUUUCUUUAAAACAGAGCUGGCGUUUUGCCUAUUCUGUUAUGUUAAACUAUUUGGUUUUGUUGAGUUUGAAUGAUGGAAGUAUAGUCAUCGAGCAUAGCUACAAUAUGCUCUACAGCUAUAUGUUGCAUUGUAUACUAUUAUAUUGUAUGUCAAAAUACUGUAUAAUACCACAAUUCGCUCUAGCUUGCCAAUACCUUGAAGAAGAGGUAUAAUGACCAUAGUUAUAACCCAGCUAAUAUUUUCAUGUAUAUUCAUGUAUGUACAAAAUGAAUGUUCAGAGACACAUCAAGGAAUGACCAUUUACAGCAAAUGGUUAUACAGUUAGAUUUGGUGGAAAAGGCUCUGCUGUUUGAGGGAGCUCUCAAAGAAUCCAAGCAGCAACAAGGAUUCUGCUUAGAGAGCUAAUCCCCUUAAUAAACACCUGUACAUCAAAUCUUAGUUACAAUAUGAAAUACCACAUAAGGAGGAGGUUGGGCCAGCAGAAAACUGUUAGCAAGAGAUUGGCUGAGUGAAGUGUGACAGUGUCAGGUUAAAAUGUCUUGAUAUACACUUUUCAUAAAUGUGAUUGUAUGUUCUAUUUCAUUCUUUCUGACCGCCAGAGGCAGUGCUUAACACUGGAUGUUAUCUGUUUCAGGUCGCACAGGUCGAGUAUCAAUAAAGUCACAUGUGACCUGGGAUGACAUAGCGUAUAUAAGCCCAUGUCAUCAUGAAAGAUGUCCCUUGUAUUUUCUUGCAGCAGGUAAUCCAGGAAUGCAGGUUGAAUCAAAGAAAGACAACAGCUAGUGACUUUUUGCUAGAAGCCCUGUAACCACAUGGUUGGAGCUACGGUUUCAUCCUCCAAGGGCUGCAAUUAGACAAUCAUGGCUAAUCUGUAACUCUUGAGUUGUUAGACCAGUGUUUUUACCCAUUACAUUAUGGAUAGGCUAAUGACAGGCGUCUUUUCCAACUCUGAAGCUAGGAUAACAAGCUCACCAUGGCUACCAGAGGACCUGCCAAUCCUUUGAAUGGAUCGAUCACUGCCUCCAGGCUCCUGC